rnacentral:rRNA from 1 species
AUUGAACGCUGGCGGCAUGCUUUACACAUGCAAGUCGAACGGCAGCGCGGGCUUCGGCCUGGCGGCGAGUGGCGAACGGGUGAGUAAUGCAUCGGAACGUGCCCAGUAGUGGGGGAUAGCCCAGCGAAAGCCGGAUUAAUACCGCAUACGACCUGCGGGUGAAAGCGGGGGACCGAAAGGCCUCGCGCUAUUGGAGCGGCCGAUGUCGGAUUAGCUAGUUGGUGGGGUAAAGGCUUACCAAGGCGACGAUCCGUAGCUGGUCUGAGAGGACGACCAGCCACACUGGGACUGAGACACGGCCCAGACUCCUACGGGAGGCAGCAGUGGGGAAUUUUGGACAAUGGGGGCAACCCUGAUCCAGCCAUGCCGCGUGCGGGAAGAAGGCCUUCGGGUUGUAAACCGCUUUUGUUCGGGAAGAAAUCCUCUGGGCUAAUACCCCGGGGGGAUGACGGUACCGGAAGAAUAAGCACCGGCUAACUACGUG